rnacentral:rRNA from 1 species
CGCAUCUGUGCAUGCAGCAUAUCAAUAAGCGGAGGAAAAGAAACUAACAAGGAUUCCCCUAGUAACGGCGAGUGAAGCGGGAAGAGCUCAAAUUUGAAAUCUUAAAGGGUUUCCCUUUACGAAUUGUAGUUUAAAGAAGUGUUUUCUGUUGAGGUUUUGGUAAAAGUUCUUUGGAAUAGGACAUCAUAGAGGGUGAGAAUCCCGUAUUUGACCUUUACUUUCAACUUUGUGAUACACUUUCAAAGAGUCGGAUUGUUUGGGAAUGCAGUCCAAAAUGGGUGGUAAAUUUCAUCUAAAGCUAAAUAUUGGCGAGAGACCGAUAGCGAACAAGUACCGUGAGGGAAAGAUGAAAAGAACUUUGAAAAGAGAGUUAAACAGUACGUGAAAUUGUCAAAAGGGAAGCGUUUGACACCAGUGUUGUUUUUCUGAAAAUCAAUUAAAGAACUGUUUAUGCUAAGUUGUUUAGACUUUAUCAGCUAAUCUGCUUAGUUUUGAGCUUUUCUUUAAUGCACUUUUCAGUUAACAAGUCAACAUCAAUUUCUUUUGCUGUAAAAAAGCUUGAGGAAGGUGGCUUGAGAUUCGUCUUAAGUGUUUAUAGCCUCUUGCCUAUGCAGUCGGAGAGAUUGAGGUCUGCAGCGUAGAUCCUUCGGGGCUAAACGCAUUUGUGCUAAGUUAUAGCAUUUUAUAGACAACUUGUUGACUAUGAUUUGUCUUGUAGCUUACUCGCUUAUGUUAUUUUACCUACGCUUAGGAUGUUGAAGAUGUAGCACAUCAU